GACGAACGCUGGCGGCGUGCUUAACACAUGCAAGUCGAACGGAAAGGCCCUGCUUUUGUGGGGUGCUCGAGUGGCGAACGGGUGAGUAACACGUGAGUAACCUGCCCUUGACUUUGGGAUAACUUCAGGAAACUGGGGCUAAUACCGGAUAGGAGCUCCUGCUGCAUGGUGGGGGUUGGAAAGUUUCGGCGGUUGGGGAUGGACUCGCCGCUUAUCAGCUUGUUGGUGGGGUGAUGGCUUACCAAGGCUUUGACGGGUAGCCGGCCUGAGAGGGUGACCGGCCACAUUGGGAUUGAAAUACGGCCCAGACUCCUACGGGAGGCAGCAGUGGGGAAGAUUGCACAAUGGGCGGAAGCCUGAUGCAGCAGCGCCGCGUGCGGGAUGACGGCCUUCGGGUUGUGAACCGCUUUCGCCUGUGACGAAGCGUGAGUGACGGUAAUGGGUAAAGAAGCACCGGCUAACUACGUG
rnacentral:rRNA from 1 species